rnacentral:rRNA from 1 species
CCUGACUGAUUGGGAUAACCUGCCGAAAGGCGGGCUAAUACCGGAUACGUUCCUCUGGAUUGCGGUUUGGGGAAGAAAAGCAGCUGUCAAAGGUUGCGCAGUCAGAUGAGUCCGCGGUCCAUCAGGUAGUUGGUGAGGUAAUGGCUCACCAAGCCUAAGACGGAUAGCUGGUCUGAGAGGAUGAUCAGCCACACUGGAACUGAGACACGGUCCAG